rnacentral:rRNA from 1 species
GACGAACGCUGGCGGCGUGCUUAACACAUGCAAGUCGAACGGUGAAGCGCCUUCCUUUUUGGUGGGUGUGGAUGAGUGGCGAACGGGUGAGUAACACGUGAGUAACCUGCCCCCUUCUUCUGGAUAACCGCAUGAAAGUGUGGCUAAUACGGGAUAUUCUGGGUCUGUCGCAUGAUGGGUCUGGGAAAGAUAUUGUUUCGGUGGGGGAUGGCCUCGCGGCCUAUCAGGUUGUUGGGGGGGUGAUGGCCUACCAAGGCGGUGACGGGUAGCCGGCCUGAGAGGGUGGGCGGUCCUAGUGGGACUGAGGCACGGCCCAGACUCCUACGGGAGGCAGCAGUGGGGACUAUUGCACAAUGGGCGCAAGGCUGAUGCAGCGACGCCGCGUGAGGGAUGGAGGCCUGCGGGUUGUGAACCUCUUUCGCCAGUGAAGCAGGCCUGCCUCGUUUGUGGGUGGGUUGACGGUAGCUGGAGAAGAAGCGCCGGCUAACUACGUG